UACGUAGGGGCCGAGCGUUGUCCGGAGUUACUGGGCGUAAAGCGCACGUAGGUGGCGACGUAAGUCGGGUGUGAAAGCCCCGGGCUCAACCUGGGAAUUGCAUUCGAGACUGCAUUGCUGGAGUACGGAAGAGGAAGGCGGAAUUCCCGGUGUAGCGGUGAAAUUCGUAGAUAUUCGCAAGAACACCAGUGGCGAAGGCGGCUCACUGGCCCGAUACUGACGCUGAGGUGCGAAAGCGUGGGGAGCAAACAGG
rnacentral:rRNA from 1 species